UACGUAGGGGGCAAGCGUUGUCCGGAAUUAUUGGGCGUAAAGAGCGCGUAGGCGGUCCGAUAAGUCGGCUGUGAAAGUCAGGGGCUCAACCCUUGAAAGCCGGCCGAUACUGUCGGACUAGAGUCCGGAAGAGGCGAGUGGAAUUCCCGGUGUAGCGGUGAAAUGCGCAGAUAUCUGGAGGAACACCGGUGGCGAAGGCGGCAUCCUGGACCGGCAUUGACGCUGAUGAGCGAAAGCCAGGGGAGCAAACGGG
rnacentral:rRNA from 1 species